rnacentral:lncRNA from 1 species
GCGAGCAGGUGCAGCCAGACUGUGUGGGCACCAGGGACUCCCCCGUGCCCUAGUAGGUGAGGGGUGGCCUCCUUCGUCUGCACACCUGGGUGCCACUUCCAGCUUCUCACCAGACUUUCAUAUGGUUGCGGCCAACAGGAUGACACUUUCAUGCAUCUCAGGUUCAGAGAAGAGCCAAGGGUGAGCCAGGCUUCCAGCAGUAACUGCUCAGCCCCUCGGCAGCCUCCAGGGAAGGAAAGUGGUGAGAACCGGUGAGACCUUGGCCACUCCCCUACCUUCUUCAACCAAAACAAUUCCUUGUUUUUCCUUUUUUUUUUCCCCCUCAGGGUAAAAUGUUGGAAAGGGGAGUCCUGUGUCUAAAUAAAGCUGGAAACCAAGAGUGAAGGAGAUUGUGUUCUCUAGAACGGAAGAACGCUCUGAUUCCUGCUUCCUGGAGCUCGGAUGAGUUCGGUUUGCAGCGACUAAUGUAUACAAGUCUUGGUCAAAGAUGACGUUGGCCCAAAAUCACAUGGGGUCAAAGGAGACUGUAGCCCACAGCUGCCUCCCAGGCAAUGGACUUGGAAAGCCUGUGGAAAUGUGUUUUAACCAGCAAUUACACUCCACCUUGUUAAUCUUCAUCAAGCUGCCUGUAAACCAGCAGACAGAUGCAACUCCCCUGAGCACUGAGUCCCCUUCAGUGCCUGCAAGGUAAUCUUUCCCUUCAGUGUCUCUGGGAUCAUGGUCAAAAGUCUAGUUCUGUUUUCAGAAGAGAACACAAAUCACUUUUUGUUUAUGGCUCCAUAAACAAACAAACAAAACAUAUAUAUAUAUAUAUGUAUGAAAAGUUAUUAAC